UACGUAGGGGACUAGCGUUGUCCGGAAUCAUUGGGCGUAAAGCGCGUGUAGGCGGUCCGGUAAGUCCGCUGUGAAAGUCGAGGGCUCAACCCUCGAAUGCCGGUGGAUACUGUCGGGCUUGAGUACGGGAGAGGCGAGUGGAAUUCCUGGUGUAGCGGUGAAAUGCGCAGAUAUCAGGAGGAACACCGAUUGCGAAGGCAGCUCGCUGGAACGUUACUGACGCUGAGACGCGAAAGCGUGGGGAGCAAACAGG
rnacentral:rRNA from 1 species